AGGGUCAUAGCUCAGUGGUAGAGCAUCUGCUUUGCGUGCAGAAUGUCUCAAUUUGAACCCU
rnacentral:tRNA from 1 species